CUGCAAAGUCACGUUCCGUCAACGAAGUCUCAGCAAGACUAAGACAGAUCACUAUGCCUGAACCCGCGAAGGCAGCGCCCAAGAAGGGAUCCAAGAAAGCCGUUACCAAGACGACAGGAAAGGGAGGAAAGAAGCGCAGAAAGACCAGGAAGGAGAGUUAUGCCAUCUACGUGUACAAGGUCCUGAAGCAGGUCCACCCCGACACCGGUAUCUCCUCCAAAGCGAUGGGCAUUAUGAACUCGUUCGUAAACGACAUCUUCGAGCGCAUCGGAGGAGAGGCUUCCCGCUUGGCUCACUACAACAAGAGGUCCACCAUCACCUCCAGGGAGAUCCAGACCGCAGUGCGUCUGCUUUUGCCCGGUGAGCUGGCCAAGCACGCCGUAUCCGAGGGAACCAAGGCCGUCACCAAGUACACCAGCUCCAAAGCAGAAGUUCUCCCUAGUCAACGACAAGGACACAAGACAAUGAUGUAAGAUGCUUGGGUUAUAAUCAACAAACGAGAAACCUACAUCCUCACAGCUAAUUGCACCUGUAUGGCAGGGCUUGGGUCAUGCUGCAGCCAUGCAGCUGCAAUAUUAUUCAAAGUUGAGUUAUAUGGUAGGAUGGGAAGGACAGAGAAAGAAGCGGUUACUUCUGGAGUGUGCAUGUGGAAAGAUGUCAGCAGGAAAGAAGUCACACCGGCUCCAUUGAGGGAUAUCUGCUUCCAGAAACCAAAAAGGCUAGGCAGGCAACUUUCAGCAGCUUCAACAUCUACUAGGAAGAAUAGUAUCACACCCAGAGGCAUGUAGUGUAUAAUAGUUGACAGAGCCUAGAUAAGUUUCCUUUUGCCAUUGUGCGUUUAAUUAAUUCUCGGGAUUUCUUUUCAGUGUUUUGACACAAUAAUAGCCUGAGAAAGGUGUUGAUAAUGCAAAAAUGAACAGGCUGACAGACCAACAUGGCUGAUUUUUCAUUAACACACUCAGUUUGAAUAGUUUCACUAUUAUGUUAGUUUGAAUGUCUUCAGAUUACUGAUUCUAGAAAUUAGAUUGUUAUCUACAGCUUAACUGGUCUGGUUUUUAGAAAUAUUCUUAUGAAGCACACUGAUUGUGUCCUUUUGUUGCUCUAUUGUCAGUGUUGACAGAUGAUGACAUUCGGGAACUGCGGGAUGUGGACCCAGGUGCUGCAGUGCUGACAAGCCUUGAAAACAGUGACACGGGCACAGCAUCAUCUGACACUGAUUUAGAGGAACAUCCAGACUUACCUGAGCCCUUGACAGCUUUAUGGGAUGCAACACUAAGGGAGCUCUCACCACAGGACAUGCAGGUGAAAUGUGAAGAUACAUUUCAUAAACUAAAAGCUACACUACAACCUCAGCAAUGUGAGAAACUGGAAUUUGUGACACGGCAACAGUCAAAGUCAAAUGAGUGGCACACCUAUAGGGCUGGUCGGAUCACAAGCACCAAACUUCACCAUGCAACCACAACUGACAAGAUAAGCAAAACAUA